UGAGCAGUGAGUCAGUGACCUUCUCCUAACAAGCCCCUGCAUCUCUGCCCGGAGACCCCUGCUGGCAAUGGGAGGGUGCUUUGAGGUCCAAUCAGACUGAAGGACAGACAGCACUAAUGUGCUGGGCGCUGAGGGCAUUGGAGAUGGUGUGAGGGAGGUGAGCCUUCACACCACUACCACCAACACUGUCAGAUCCUUCACGUCAAACCCUCACUCCAUGCAUCUGAGUCACCCCAAAGCAAUCGGCUAGGUUUGAGGUGUGGGCUAUGUUACAUUCGGCUCGGUUUGAGGUGUGGGCUAUGUUACAAUCAGCUAGGUUUGAGGUGUGGGCUAUGUUUAUGAGACGAGCGUGUUUUUGGACUGCAGGGGUCCCGUGUCUGAAGGGAGGGAAGGAUGGCAGGAAAGAAAGUAAGGAAGGAAGGAAAUGACGAUUUGGCUGCUGUUGCUAAAGGAGUGUGAGGUAUGAUGAGAUGCAUGCCACCUUCCUCUGUUGUUCCUGACCAGAGAUAUUAUAAUGUGGGCUGUAGCAGAGGUCACUUUGGAGGGA
ensembl:lncRNA